rnacentral:lncRNA from 1 species
CCCAUCUCUUCCCACCGCCCGUCAGCAACACAGCUCUCCCUUUCUAGAAACAGGGUUUCCCCUCCAGGCUUGGAUUCUUAAAUCUAAAAAGAGCCUCUCACCUGAGGCCUUCACCUGAGAGCUGGAGCCUGUGCGAUGGAUUAUCUGGACAGGGACCCCAAUGAACAGGGCUCUGCUGGAGUGAGGAAGCUGACUGAGGGAAGAACCAGAAGGCUGCCAAAAUGUCUGCUGCUGGGGAAACCAAACCACAGUAACUUCAGAAAUAUAUACUUGGAAUAUGUCAUGUAUUAAUGGGUAAAGACACCGUGGAUAUGAAGGAAAUCACCUAUGGGAGAAUAUUAAGAAGAGAAGAAGGGGCUGCUGGCUGUAGUGAAAUGUAUAAAAAGGAGAGUGUGAUCCUAGUUUCUGUCUCUAACUAUGAGUUACUUGUGAUUAACUUCAAAUAUUCUCUCCAUAAGAAGAGGCCCAGAAGAAGAAGAUGAGCUUCAGUUAUUCUAGCACAACUGCUGUGAUAUUUGUAAAUAUUCAAAACCUAUAAUAAAAUGUAUAAAAGGAAACUCCAUUUGAAAUGAUUUGAAAUCUCACAUGGAAAUCUAUUUUUUUUAAAUCAGAGCUUAGUAAGAGAAAAUAACAGAACAUUGUAAUAAUUGAAUUACAAAAACAACUGAAUUUUGGAAAAUUUAUUUUCUCUCAUGUGAUGUGUGUGUAUGUGUGUGUGUGUGUGUGUGUAUCUAUUUAGCAAUGGCGUUAUUCUAUCAAAUGGGAUUAGAUUCAUUUUUGACUCCUGCUAAGCACCCUGUCCCCCCAACCCCAAGAUUAUGAAAGCGGAAGGGAAGGGGGAGAUAGGAAAUAUGACUUAUUUAAACUGUAUAAAAAUGCUGAAAUAAAAUGAACAUUCAAAACUCAUGUGAUUGAAUUUAAUCUUUCUUUUGUUCAACACAUUCAC